GUCACAUUCAGUCCCUUCUGGGAGAUCCAGGUCCCCUUGCUGAGCUCGAGAGGUUCCAGGGUCUUUUCAGGAUCGCCCUGCUGGACCCCAUUCAACGUGGCCAGUGGCACCUCAGUGUCCGGUCAGAGGGACACAUCGCACUUAAUGCCAUCGGUACCAUACUGUAAAUACAGCAACACACUGUACAGUGUAUUAGUGAAACUGUGUACUGACUGACAGCAGCUGUGAAAGCAGAGGGUGCAGGGAGUGCUCUGGUCUGCGGUAAGGGCUUGUAAACACACUGUCCAACGAUCUGUUUCCUGUCCAAUUCCUCAGGCGACAGCAGCGUGGACUUUCUGUACUACUUUGCCGUGGAGGACAAUGGGACUCACCCGGGUCUUGCCAAGGUGGAAGGCACUCCGGUAGCAGGUGUGCCCACUUUCGUGGUGCUUUCGGUGACGGGCCUGUCCCCUCGUGAUGAGGCAUCCUUUACCCAUGUGACCUUGCUGGGUGUUAAUGGGGAGAGUCUGCUGGAGGUGCCGCUAAACUCCUCAUCCUCCUCUGCCUCUGGGGAAGAGCUGGUUGGCAGGAUGGAGUCUGUGCCCCGAGAGCCCUUCAGUGUGCGUUUGUGUGGGAGGGACGGCUUGGGAGGCCCACUGGAGAGGGUCUCUACAGAGAUUGUCCAGCCUACCCAUGUACGGAUUGAGGUACACAUCUGCAGCAACGCGCAGCUGAAUUAGAUUUUCUCAGUUUUUGAGAUAAGCUUGGAAUUUCAUACAUGAAAAAAUGAGUGAAUCUUUUGCGGUUCGGGAAAACCUUGUUUUUUCCCCCUUUAAAUUGAUCGUAAUUAAGUUGUAUUCAUCUUAAUAAUAAUAAUAAUACAAAUAACUCAUCUUUCAAGCAGAUUUUCAGGAAUUAAUUACACUCGUUACGAGAGGGAAACCCACAGUCUCACUCUUCUUGAGAGAAGAGUAGUUUGGUCUAGAUGCGUGGGAUGUGUUCUGUUGGGCCAGAUGAUGGGAUGCAUCAUGGGGUGGAGGGAGGUUAUUCUCUCUCUCUUCCCCCCUUACAGGUCCUUUCUGCACCACACCUGGUCCCUGGUCACAGAGCCGUGGUGCGCUUUCACGUGUUGAACCACGGUCCAGCACGGCACUUUAAGCUGAAUACGGAGAAUGACCGAGGGUUCCUCUCGCAGUCAGGUCCUCAAAGGCUGUUUGUGGAUGAGAGAGGGUCAGUGACAGGGGAGGUGGAGAUCAACACCCCUAGUACUGCAGAGCCAGGAGGGGCAGUCACGCUCAUUCUCACUGUUCGAGCACAGGAUUCCCCUGAUGGGAACUACGCUGUGGUGCACCUGACUAUCAUUCCACCGGACCCUGACUGGCACCCCCCAUCUUGUUCCCCGAUGCGAGUGGAGGCAUCCUGCCCACCUGUCUGCAGUCAUGGCAGCUGGGCUGUGUCUUUCACCAUAUCUGACAAGGGGCAGUCUGGUUUGGCUGCCCUUCAGCUCUUACACGGUGAGGGGACCCUCAGUCUCAUCCACGGACACCGGGCACGGGAAGGGAGAAAACGGAGGACGGAUGGGAAAAGGGGUCAAGAAUAUGAUGCUAACAGACAUGGAAGUGAUGGACACAGACAUGACAGACAUGGCGUUAAUGGACACAGCUAUGACAGACAUAGACAUGAGAGACAUGAGGUGCCCCUGUUGCGGCAGGGAGAAUCACCAUUGAACAUUUCUGCUUGGGCCAGCGUGGCUCCCCUCCGUGUGAGGUACAAGUCUAGCUGCUGCUUCCCACAGGCAGUGCUCCUAAUAUGGGAUGGAGCCGGAAACCUGAUGCGCUGCCGCUUGUCCUCCAGCCAGGAGGGAUCAUCAAAGGAGAGCUCAAGUAGCGCUGAGAGGAGAGAAAUUAUGCCGUUUGUAAUGCUGAUGGGUGUCUUGGUUCCUGUAGUUAUGUUUGCACUCAUUUGAUGGACUGCCAUGCCUUUGGUCUUGUUAUGCCUGUAUCUAUAUACAUGUGGAUUGGAUGCUUACUGUGUAGAAGCUUUCCAACCAGGUCCUGUCCCAUGUUUUUUGGAGAUGCCACUGGACAAAUCAGGCUUUUAAUUUACUGUAGCUUGCACUUGUGACCAGUUUGAGUGUAGACAAGUGAAUUCAGAAGUGAUUCAAUUCAAAUGGUCUCCUCUGUCGUCCAAGUAUCAGCCUGUGGAUAUAUAGAACUGCGAGGAUGUCAUACUCUAGGACAAUAUGUUCAAUGUAUCUGAAUAACAUACUGUAUUUCAGGCCUUUGAUCCUGAUAACAUAUCUGAACAAAUAAUUCUGACUGAAAUUUUUAAUUAACCAACUGUCACACUGAUGUGGGUGUUCUCUGUGCAGUCUUUAAACGUGCAUUAUAAAUGAGAAGAUGCCACUAAAAUCUUAAAACUGUAUCUCUAGCCUUUUUUUGUUUCUAUAACUGUUAAUCAUUUUUGGACACACAGUUAAUUUCUUGUCCAUUUUUAGUUAAGUAUUUACCCAAAUCUUCUUAGCACUGAAACUGGAAUGUACAAGGAGUUGGACGGUUGUGCAACAACUGGCAACUUGCGUUGAGAACUGGGAAUUAUUAAAUUAUUUACAACAAUGCUAACUAUUGGUGAAAAUCUGUUGAAAUACACACAUCAUCUGAAACCACUUGUCCCAUGUGGGGUCACAGGGAGCCAGAGCUUAACCUGGCAACACGCCCUAGGGCAUAAGGCUGGAGGGGGAGGGGAAACACCCAGGACGGGACACCAGUCCAUUGCAAGGCACCCCAAGUGGGACUCAAACCCCAGACCCACCGGAGAGCAGGACCUGUUCAAGCCCACUGCGCCACUGCAUCCCCUGUUGAAAUCACCUAACCUUUUUAAAUGCCGUGUAGUUUUAGCUGUCCAGUUUAACAUCAGUUAGUGCUGCUUGUAUCAUGGAUGACAACAAGCUCCCACAUCUUGUGUAA
rnacentral:lncRNA from 1 species